UUGUAGGUUUUGAAUUCGUCAGUGGAAAUACAGGGGGCCUUAUCGUUUCUUGAGAUUAGGAUUUUCAAGGCUGCUCACGUGACAUCGUCAACACCUCUGAUGGACUUGCAAAGGGUCACAAUACCAUGGACAACGCCUAACACAAAAGCCCUGAGUGGGUUUUCAGCAAUAUGUUUCAUGUUUGGAGAGCGCAUGUACCCUCACCUGAACUAACCUAUUGGAUUAGUGGAAGCUGACGUUGGCGGCACUGCCAUCAAUUGGUGGUCUUCACCAGAAGUGGUGUCCAAGUGCAGCAGUCAGGGGAAACGAGGAUGGCCUCCAAAGAACUACGAACUGUGGAACGCAAUCAUAAGUCCCCUCCUUCCACUCUCGAUAUAUGGUGUUCUUUGGUAUCAAGGUAAGCACUGAUUCAAGCAUACUUAUAUGACAAAAUAUAAUUGUACCCAUAUGCUAAUAUAUCUGCAUUACUGCCAGCUGAUUCUUGUUGUCAAGGUGAAAAUGACAUUGGUUCCGCCAGUAGAUACGCCUGCACCUUUCCCAUAAUGAUUGAAGACUGGAAAAAACACUGGCAUCUGGAGUCCAUGGGGGAA